GACGAACGCUGGCGGCGUGCUUAACACAUGCAAGUCGAACGGUGAGCCUCUUCGGAGGGGAUCAGUGGCGAACGGGUGAGUAACACGUGGGCAACCUGCCCCCGGCUCUGGGAUAACUCCAAGAAAUUGGGGCUAAUACCGGAUGUUCACCGCUUCCCGCAUGGGUGGUGGUGGAAAGGGUUUCCGGCUGGGGAUGGGCCCGCGGCCUAUCAGCUUGUUGGUGGGGUAGUGGCCUACCAAGGCGACGACGGGUAGCCGGCCUGAGAGGGUGACCGGCCACACUGGGACUGAGACACGGCCCAGACUCCUACGGGAGGCAGCAGUGGGGAAUAUUGCGCAAUGGGCGGAAGCCUGACGCAGCGACGCCGCGUGGGGGAUGACGGCCUUCGGGUUGUAAACCUCUUUCAGCAGGGACGAAGCGCAAGUGACGGUACCUGCAGAAGAAGCACCGGCCAACUACGUG
rnacentral:rRNA from 1 species